GUGUUCACUGUCUGCUAAGGCGGAACUUUCCUGUCUUGAUUUAUAUCAGCCUUUAAAAAAGAACUUGUUUUGUUUUGUUUUUCCCGAACUUCAGCCUUAGCAACUUCCAAGUUUUCUUGGAAGAAACAGUCGAUGGCUCUUUAAAAACUCUUUCAAAACAAGAACUAAUCUUCUCACGACAGACAGAUCCGUGGAGCACAGAAGAGUGGAAAGAGUACUGCACCAAGAGUCCAGAGCUCCGGUGCUAAUCCCAGCUGUGCCCAUACGUGACCAGGAGCCCAGCGCUAAGUCAACCGUGUCAUCUCUCUGAAGGGCUCCAAGAAUUCUUCCACCCGAAAGACCAACUUAUGGCCAAAAAGGGCAGGCGCAAGGUGAGCUGUGGCUGGCCUGCAUGUAUUCUUCAACGGGACCAAAGGAGAAGGAGCAACCCCGACUGAGACAUGCGGGUCUCAUGGCAAGGACAAGAGAGACAAGGCGGACCCAGGUCUAGUGUAAAGCUUCUGCUGGGAAAUGGCAUGUGUCAUCGCUAUUCACAUUGUUUUGGCCAAAGUUAACGAAACUUAAGGAAAACUGAAGAUACUCAGAAUCUUCGUUUGAACUAGGCUGUAGAUUCCAGUCUGGCUCCCAACUGAGAAUGACUAAAGGGCUUGGCAUAGAAGAGCCCCAUCUUCCACCUAUAGCCCCAAUUAGCGCCCCUUCUCCUCUCUUAGCAUUCUGCUCAACUACAACUCGAGCCUUUCCCCAGACUGAGAUCUUCCUUUCCCACCUCUGCCUCUCUGCUCACACUCUUUCUUCUAGCUAGAAUGUUCCCUCAGCACUGCCCCAACUCUGUUCAAAGAUCCUGCCCACAGAACUGGGGAGGUGCACCCAAUGCGUGCACAAGGAUGUUCACCCUAGUGUGCUUUCUAGAAUGAGAAGUGGAGAACAACCAAAAUGUCCACUCCUGGGGAACUGGUUAAAUACAUCACAGACCACGUAACAAAGUAACACGUGAA